CCUACGGGAGGCAGCAGUGAGGAAUAUUGGUCAAUGGACGAGAGUCUGAACCAGCCAAGUAGCGUGAAGGAUGACUGCCCUAUGGGUUGUAAACUUUUUUUAUAUGGGAAUAAAACAGGGUAUGCAUACCCUCUUGUAUGUACCAUAUGAAUAAGGAUCGGCUAACUCCGUGCCAGCAGCCGCGGUAAUACGGAGGAUCCGAGUGUUAUCCGGAUUUGUUGGGUUUAAAGGGGGCGUAGGUGGUUUGAUAAGUCAGUUGUGAAAGUGUGCGGGUCAACCGUAAAAUUGUAGUUGAAACUGGCAGUCUUGAGUACAGUAGAGGUGAGCGGAAUUCGUGGUGUAGCGGUGAAAUGCUUAGAUAUCACGAAGAACUCCAAUUGCGAAGGCAGCUCACUGGACUGCAACUGACACUGAUGCUCGAAAGUGUGGGUAGCAAACAGGAUUAGAUACCCGUGUAGUC
rnacentral:rRNA from 1 species